GGUUAGCAUAGAUUUUAAAGUAUCCAUAUAGGGUUCGAUUAGUGGCCCAGUGGCAUUUAUAUUCCUUUCUAGCAUGGCAGCGAUAUCGAUAUUAACAACAUCCCGCUCGCCCAGGCUGGGAAGGAUGGCAUAAAUUCGAAGCUUGACAUUGCAAUUGCUAUGACAUGGAUCGAAAAUCGUUCGUUGUUUUUACCCAUUCGGCAAGUGUACCACACUACCACCGAUUCAUGGAAGCUUCUUUUUCCAGAUGCAGCCGCUUCUUUCUUAUGGGAAGAUUUCGGUAGACCAAGAUUACUGGAAUUUUUAGUUGAAGGGACUGAUUCACUGAAAUCAUUGGAAUACAAUAUUGAUGAGAUUCUUGAACACCAACCAAAACAUGCAGUAGGUCACCCUGCUAGAGCAUUACGUGUUACGAUUCUGAAGGAAGGCAAAAUGAAUAUCGUUAGGAUCAGUGACUGGAUGCCAGAAAAUGAGCCUUCUUUGAUAACAGGUAGAAGAGUCCAACCACCAUCACCACAACCUUCUGGAAAUGUCUCUCCACAACAGCAGUUGCCAUCCUCCACAGGUUGUAAAUUUCAUGUAGUUCUUGAGCUUGCUGGGCUUGGAACAUCUGUUACCGAACACACACCGAGGAGAUUUUAUACCUGUCAGUCCAGAAUCUCCUUUUAGCAUAUUCUACUGAUUUUAGUAGGUAAGACACUGUCUUUGAAUUGAUUUUUCAUUCUGUAGAAUGAUUUGUCAGGUUACCAUCUUCAAUGUAGUUUUACAAAGUUGAGCAUCAGGGGUGAGCAAAGAGCUUGUAUUGUUGAUUUCAAAUUUUUUUUUUUUUUUUUUGAAUGCAUGCUUGGUUGUCUCGUAAACACUUCUCUCCUAAUGGUUUUAGUGGAUCCCUUGUGAUGUUCAUGGACAUCCAAAUGACUCUUGGUAUGUAUUUUAUACUUGUUUUGUAUUUUUGUCUCAUGGUGUUUGAGUACAGGUUUUUGGUUUACUUUAAGGAUUGCAUAGAUCAAGAAGCUGGAACAGAGUAUUACUAUUUAUAUCCAAGAUCCAAGAGCUCCAGAUGAAUGCCUAGCUUAGUGAUUGUAGAUAAUAUCAUUGAAGUUUCUGUACCAAUUCUCUCAGAAAUUUUUACCAUAUGUGCUUUCUUGUCACUAGCAUUAUUAGGAGCGUGUAGAUUAUAUACUGAUUUUUUUUUUCAAUUAUCUGAAUUGAAAAGUUGAAAGGGAAAUUUUUUUUUCUUCUGGUGGUUCCAACCUUCAUGAAUUUUGCUGGGGCAAAUUAUAUGAUACAAAAAACAACCGUUGUGUCAGUUGAUCCAAUUAUUCAAAUUGGGUAUGCUAAAACCUAUCUUGAAACAUAGCUUUUGCACAGAUCAAACUUAGUUUUUAUCUAAUAUUCUUCCAAUUACAGUGUUAUUAACAUCUCAGAAGUUCGAUUCAAAGCCUCAAUGGCUAUGUCACCUAGUCAAAUGCUAAGAGGAGUGCUUGGGUUCUGGUCUUCCUGGAUGACUGCUCUGAGCAGCACUGAAAAUAUGCCUGUGAGAUAAAAUCAAAGAUUUAAUGAGAGCAUUUGCACAAGACAAAGUACUAGGAUCGGUAUCGCUGUCUCAAACAUUGAAAAGGAUUUCUUGGCCAACCUCUUCAACUGCUCUCCGGUGUUGAUAUUUUGGGCAUUGCAAGCAGUGCGCCUGGACAUAUGAGUAAAGGUUAAGCCACUUCAUCGAUGGAUAAAAAAUUCAUCCAGAUUCGGCAGAGACAGAUGGAGAGUGGUUGAUAAAGCAUAUGGGUGAAUUUUAUGAAAAAAAUUAUGCCGCCUCAUCCCGGAGACAUGGUGAGUGCCAGGAUACCAAAAUUUGGCUGACAUUGAAGGAUUUCUCAUCCCCGCCCUGAUACCAUUCCUGAGAACAAGGGUGUAGAGGACCUUGGUGAUGUCAUUAGGGAGGGAGGCGGAGGGCUAGCAAAAGGCCUGCUUAGAGGAGUUACUGGCAUUCUAACAAAGCCUCCUGAAGAAGCAAAAAAUUCAGGUUUUGUUCAGGGAGUUGGAAAAGGAAUAACAGGUGCAGCUGCCCAGCCAGUCAGUUGGGCUUCCUUGUGCUAUUACUGGCGAUGAUUUGCAUCGACCUUACAAUGACUACAGAGCCCAAGGACAGGUAGCCUUGCUUGUGUAAUUUACAGAUCAUGGUUUGACUUUUCUGGUCUUUUAAUGAGUUGUCGUGAUUCCGAUAUACUAAGAAUCUGACAAAUUCUUUCAUACAAGUUGGUAUAGAUAUAUUGAAUUGCUUGCAUUUAGAUGUAUGUAUGCAUAUCUAGCAGAUGAGAAUUUCUCUUUAAGAUUGUAGGGAGAGAGGGGGGGCACAUGAAGGAAAGAAAGAUAGAAUUACUUGCAUGAUUUUUUUCUUUACCUGAAUAAAUUACAGGCUACCACAAUGUUCUUAUGGUGGGAACUUAUUUUGGACA